AGCGAAGUUCCUUGUCGGGUAAGUUCCGACCUGCAUGAAAGGCGUAACGACUGGAAUACUGUCUCAACCAAUGACCCGGUGAAAUUGUAGUCGUGGUGAAGAUGCCACGUACCCGCAGAAAGACGGAAAGACCCCAUGAACCUUUACUGCAGGCUGAUAUUGGUACUAGAUAUGUUUUGUGUAGGAUAGGUGGGAGGCUUUGAAACGG
rnacentral:rRNA from 13 species